AUUUUAUUAUUUUUUUUUCUUAAAUCAGUGAUAAAGUUAAAAUUAAAGGGUACUAAAGUGAAUACUUGAUAAAUCUAGAUGGGUAUAUGAAGUUUUUUGUAUAUAUAAUUUAAUGAAAUAUUAACGAAAAAGCCACCGAAAAGAUAAAAACGAAACCACAGGAGGGCAAAUUGAUACACUUUAAACCACAGGGUACUAAAGUGAGAAACAAUGAAACUAUAGGGGGGGUUUUUGAAGUUUUUCCAUAAUUUUAUAUAUACAAUAUAAUAGGACUAAAAUUUUUAAUCCACCUAUGACAUUUUGAAUGGUAGAUAGAUCUAAAAAGUUAAGAAAGUUAAGCGUGCUAAUACUAGAGCAAUUCUAUAAUGGGUGAUCCUCUAGGAAGAGGGCGUUACAGUUGGUAUCAGAAACAAUUACCAACCGAAAGUACGAGAUAAAUCUCGGUUGAGCCAGAUUAAACAGCAGGAAGAGCUAGACUCUCAUGCUAAUGACUGUUAUGAGCCUUGUGCGGUUUCUCCACAAGGUCGGUUAAGACUAGCAACAUCUAAUAUUUGUAAGUUUGAGUAUGACGGAGACGUCAGGACUUAAAAAGGUCGGUCCCAGGUAAUCUUAUAUAUAAGAUAUAAUAGGGUUAAAAACUGUUAAUCCGACUAUAGUAUUUUGAGUGAUGGUCAGGUUCGAGAAAUUAAUAAAAGAAUUAAGCGUGUUAGGACUACAAUAAUAGUUCUAGAAUGGAUGAACUGUUGAAAAGUGGGACGUCACAAAUAUAUCAGUACGUGUCCCAUUUUAACUCCAAAUUAACGAGAGACAUAUUAAAACCUAAUAUGAUAAUAUGGUAGCUAAAAGCAACUAUUUUAUAUUUUAGUUUGAAAGCUCUUC
rnacentral:lncRNA from 1 species